GGAGAACUGAAGAAAUGCCUCCCACCAGCUUGGAAACAUCCCUACUUUUUCAUAUUGCUGACACAUAUUAGUAUCUGUCUAAUUGCAAAAGUCAAAACCACCACAGGUAUGAAAUUUACUGCAUGUAAUGCCCUAAGAGAGAAUAUUAUGAAAAUGAUAUACAGGUGGUACAUGACACCAGUCAAGCUUGCAAAAAUCUACCAUGUGCCCGAUAAUAAAUGUUGGAAAUGUAAGGAAAAUGAAGGUACUUUUUUUCACCUUUGGUGGACGUGCCCAAAGAUUAAGGCUUUCUGGGAAAUGAUAUAUAAUGAAUUGAAAAAGGUAUUUAAAUAUACCUUCUUGAAGAAACCAGAGGCCUUUCUCUUGGGCAUAGUCGGCCAAUUGGUGCCAAAGAGGGACAGAACUUUCUUUAUGUAUGCCACAACAGCAGCAAGAAUUCUUAUUGCAAAGUAUUGGAAGACACAAGAUCUACCCACCUUGGAAGAAUGGCAGAUGAAGGUGAUGGACUAUAUGGAACUGGCGGAAAUGACUGACAGAAUCCAAGACCAGGGAGAAGAGUCGAUGGAGGAAGAUUGGAAAAAGUUUAAAGAUUAUUUACAGAAAUAUUGUAAAAUUAAUGAAUGUUAGAAUGAUGUUGGAUAGAAACUAAGUGGUCUUUAGCUGAAAGGUUACAAGGGAAGAUGAAAAAAGGGUUUAUUAUGUAAUAUGUAAAAAUCUAAAAUUACAACAUCUUUAUGAUUAAUGAUUAGGAUACUAAAAGAGGGGAGGGAUUUGCUGAACAAAAUAAUUGAACUGGAAUACAAAAAAGGGAGGUGUGAGGAGGUCGGGGAAACAAGCAAAUGAAAGAUAAAUAUGGAAAGACUAAUCUGUUUUUUAACUGUUUUUAUUUUGUAUUUUCAUUUUCUAUUUGUUUUCUCUUUUUUUCUUUCUUUUUUCGCUUAUUUUUGUAAUAUGUUGAAACUUUAAUAAAUAUCUUAUAUAAAAAAAAAAGUCAAAACCAAACAGGAACUUUUGUAUUUUAUUCGCUUGAUCUGAUUAAAUUCCGAUUUUGGAAUGGUUCUGGUUCUGUUUCCACCACCGGUGGAAGACAAGAGCGAGUUCAUUCAUGCAGGUCUAAAUGUUUGAUUACUUCAGGGUUCUCCAGCCACAAUGUGCUACUUCUGUCACUUUUUAUGAAGAUACUGAUUAGCAUUAUAGAAACAACGCACAUGUCCUCUAGGAACGUGCCCAUAAUCAGCACUGUCAUUGCUGAUCACAUUAGAACUCAGUGCUCACAGUCCAGGCCACUCUUAGCAUCUGGAUUCCUCAUCAGAGGCAGAGUAAUUUGCAAUUAGUCUCUGAACAUUCCAGGUGAGAAGGCCAACCCUCGAGGGCUGUUUCUCCCAGAGAGAGAAAAGUUAUUCAGCAAAUUAGUCCAAUACAUUGAUUUUUUUUCCUUUCCAAAGAAGUGUUAGAGACAAAAUAAAUGUCUUUCAUUUCACCUGUGUGGGAUGGCCAUUAGAACUCUAGAUAAAAACAAUAUUAAUAAAAGGAGACAGUUAUUACCAGUGCAGCUGCCAAAAGCAAGGAGGGGUAAACUCAAUUCUGGCAUAGUUCUUAAGAGGACACUUCCUCCGGGAGAUCCCUGCAUAGAAAUAAGUAGAAAUCUACGCACAGCUACAAGCAGGGAUGUAGAAACGUGCCUUGUAUUCUUCUGACAUUCAUUUGCCCUUUCACCUGGUAUUUUCUGUUCCGCUGAAAUUGCUUUAUUUUACAAGAGUCUUUCUUCUUUUUCUUGUUCUCUGACCCAUUUUGAUGCAUAUAUAAUGUGUAUCAUAGAGCACAAUGGCCAUGCAUAUUUUAGCCAUCAAUAGAUAUUUACAAAUUAAUUACCUUCCCUGUGUGUUCCCUUUCAAAGUUAAUGAAUUUCUAGAGGGGUAGCUCUCUUAGUCCUUUGAAGCAAAAAGAACAACGGGUCUUAAAGAGAAAGUUAAUAACCCCUCACAAAUCCAUCUCUGGCUGCAAUUCUAAUCAUAUCUACAGUACUCAGAUACAAAUCCCACUGAAUUCAAUUGGGCUUACUCCUAGGUAAGUGGGGUGUGGAAUGCAGCCCAUCUUGCUACCAAGAUUUCACAGUUCAGUAUAAAUUUGUCAUCCUGGCUCAUUUCCCUCACUCAUGGAUUAGGGAGGUUAGUUCUUCCCUUUUUUGCUCUUUUUGUCCUGGAUUAUCUGAGUUACUCCUUCACUCCGUGUAAUUCCAGGUAACCACAUGUAAGUCCUUUUAUUGUGACAUUUUAUUUCAUAAAUGUUUAUUUUAAUCAGAAAAUGGUGCCUGUCGAUGAUUUGUGUGUCUGAUUUUGUAUGUCUGAUUUAUUUAUUAUUUAUCACACAUUUAUUUGUCUGAUUUAUGUUUUCAUGAACAUAUUUAAGUGAAGCCUAAUAAUUUAAUUUCUAAAUUUAUCAUUUGAUUCUCUAGUUUGUGAUUUUUAAAAAUGCACCUGGCAAUACUUUGACCUCCACAUUUUGCAUCAUGUCUACCUGCACUACUUCACUGACUGUGUAUUGCACUGCUUCAUUAUGCCAUUUUAAAACAAAGUUUUUGAAACAAAGAUUUAGGGGGUGGAUAAAUGGUAAAAAUGAGCUGUCAAAUCCAGUUUAACUUUAACUGAGGAGCACAGAUAAAAGAACUAUGGCUAAUAAAAGAGGUAACUUCUUUCCAUGAGAAAAGAAUAACGAACAAUGUAUAGCUCUUGUUUUUAAAAUUAACAGUAGGAAUUGGAUUAAGGCUACAAUCCUAAAACCAUUUACCUCGGAGUAAGAACCACUGACUCCAGUGGGGUUUACUUCUGAGUAGAGAUGCAUAGGAUUGCAGCCUUAGAGCAUAGAUGCUGUCUUUCGCAAUGAAUAACCAAUUCAGAGAAGCAACAACAAUGGACAGCAGCAUUUAUACACCUAUGAAUAUGUAAAUUGCAAGCAAUUAUGAUUCUAUUUAUGUAUGGUGCCUGCAUAUUAAAAACAAUGUUUUUGGAGAGAACGAAAGUGAAAAAUAUGGAUAGCAAGUGUCUGUUCCAUGAUGGAUUUAAAACAGGCAGAUGGAAGGAAAUCUGCUUGAUGGUCCAUUUUCAACAGAUUCCUUUGACAUCCUUUGUGAAAAGUGAAUGUUGGCCUUUUGCAUUUAGCUCCUCAUUGUCAAGCAAAGUAAAAUAUGCAGCUUGCCUCCCCCCCCCCCCCGUGUUUAAAAAUAUAUUCAUGCUAGAGAAAUUUCAAGACUGCAUCCAAGGCUACAGUCUUAUAGUUAGGAGUAAGCCCCACUGAACUCACCUUCUAUUACUUCUUGUAUUACUAUUGUAUACAAUAUGCAUACUGAGCCCUUUGGCACAUAAGAUUCUCAGUGUUGGCAGAGAUGCCUCCAUCUUGAAAUGAAUAGUCAGACCUUAUAAGUGAGAAGAUUUUGUUGAUAUCAGAGUGACUUUGCUCACAGAAUCAGGACCUCAUGUGACUAGAGCAAGGGGUAAAUACGAUAAAAUAAAAUAAAAUAAAAUAAAAUGAGGGGAAGAUCCAAAAGCUUUCAGCAUUUCUGACUUGGAAUUUCAAGCUUACCUCUGUGAUAAUUUCUUAUAAAUAUGGUCUGAUACAGCUCAUAACAAUCUUAGAAGAACAUUUCUGAUAUUGUGUGAACACAAUACCAGACCGGUGUUAUAUGGUCUCGGUGGCCGCUCCAAGUCACCAGUCUAGCUGCCGCAUUCAGGAUUAGUUGUAGUUUCCGGGUCACCUUCAAAGGUGACAUAGAGUGCAUUGCAGUAGUCCAAGUGGGAGAUAACUAGAGCAUGCACCACUCUGGCAAGACAGUCUGCGGGCAGGUAGGGUCUCAGCCUGUGUACCAGAUGGAGCUGAUAAACAGCUGCCCUGGACACAGAACUGACCUGCACCUCAAUGGACAGCUGUGAGUCCAAAAUGUCUCCCAGGCUGCGCACCUGGUCCUUCAGGGGCACAGUUACCCCAUUCAGGACCAGGGAGUCCUCCACACCCGCCUGCCUCCUGUCCCCCCAAAACAGUACUUCUGUCUUGUCAGGAUUCACCCUCAAUCUGUUAACCACCAUCCAUCCUCCAACCACUCACACAGGACCUUCACCGCCUUCACUGGUUCAGAUUUGAAAGAGAGGUGGAGCUUUUCUUCGAAUCCCUGAAGAAAAGUCCUGUGGAAGUGGUGCAAUAACUAGAUACAGGGUUGGAUGCAGAGAAGAGUGAGCAGAACUCUGCUUCCACAAUGGGACUUUCCUGGCUCCUCCCAAAAGCUGCUUUUGAGGGUUAAGAGGCCCCUUGGAACAGCAUGGGAAGGGAUGUGGGGAACUGCAGCAGGACAGGGGAAAGUAGAAUUUGGAUGGAGUGCCUUGUGCAAGAGGAAGCGCCUUCUUGCUCAUGCAAGACAGCUUUGGAUCCAUGCCACAGCAUGAGCUGUGAAUGUGAACAACUGCGGUUUUGUAUGUACAAAUAAAUUACUAAUGGGAGAAUUAGGUUUCCUUGUUGAUUAGCAUCAACCAGCUAUAGAUCCUCCAGCUAUAGAUCACACAUCUCCCCUGCGCAUCUUUCUUCAAGAAGCAAACACAUUCACCUCUCCCUUGUCCCUGCUACUGCAAGGCAUUCCUCUCUAUGAGCAAGCUUCUCUCUUUGUUGGCCAUAUUCCUCUUGCAGGAUCAGAGUUAGAUGUGCUAAGGGGAAAGUUUGCUGUUGCCUUGCGGGUGGGGGAGAAGCAAUAAUGAUGAUUGUCUGUACCAAACCUGAGCAUGAAAGUGAGAAAUUGUGAUUGCUGCAGUGGAAGGCCUGGUUUAUUAACUUUCUUCUGGCUGCCCAGAAAGGGUGCCAGAGGGCAAGGGAAGUAUACCGUAUCAGUGUUUCUCUCAAGGCGCCUCACUUGCCUGAAUCUGGGAUUUAUUCACAACAGGAGAAGCAAGGCAGCAAAUAAGCCCAUUCAGCUCAAGAAUCUUAUCCAGCAGAAGGGAGCUAGUAGAUAAGGGAGCCCGCUGUCCAGUCCAAUAAGAAGAUAAUGAUAGCUAAGAAGACUUAGCUGGCUAAAAGUGAGCACUUAGCGCCAGGAUCGCUUACGGAUGUGCCGUGAUCUUUUUCUUGGUCUUGGAAAACAAAACACAACAAGCCAAAGUAGACCAUGGGGGUUUCUUCUGCUGGUGGGCUGGGUUCUUUUCUCUUUCUGUUAUACUAAUUAAAAAGCAACAGAGCACAGCAGCUGUCUGUGAAGGUGUCAAAACUAAGCUAGCCCUCUAUUGUAAGAUUGUAACUAGAAUGCACCCGGCAUGUAUCUGGCAGAAGUUUUUGUACUCAACAGAUUAGCCAAAUGACUCCACUUGGCAAGCUGUGCUACAGGGGAAAGGAAUCUGUGUCCUUUCCUCUCCUGUUCUGAUGUCCAUUUACCAAGACAGGCAGUAGCAUGGUGCAGUGGUCAGGGUGUUAGAGCAGGACUUAGAGGACCAGGGUUCAAAUCCUUACUCAGCCAUGAAUCUCAGUGGGCCAGUGUGACUCUUGGGCCAGUCACAGCCCUGAAUCUGAACCUUCUUCAGAGGGUUUGGGGUGGGGCGAUAAAAUGGAGAGGGGGAGAAACAUGCACGCCACCUUGAGUUCCUUGGAGGAAAGGCAGAAUGUGAAUGU